AUCGACAAGUGAACUUGAGUACUCGGUUUUAUUCUGGCCAUGAACACUUUCAUCUACGCCGCUGCGAUAAGUCUCGCAGUUUUUGUGGCUUGCGAACUGCAGAAUGGAGUCUCCUCGGAGGGUAAGUUGUAAACUUGGAUUUGUUUA